GAGAGCGAUCAUACCAGCAAUAAUGCACCGGAUCCUAUUAGAACUCUGCAGUUAAGCGUGCUCUGGAGAGAGUAGUAUUUGGGUGGGUGACCUCUUGGGAAGUCCUCGUCUUGCACCCC
rfam:Gossypium raimondii chromosome 6, whole genome shotgun sequence.